rnacentral:rRNA from 1 species
GACGAACGCUGGCGGCGUGCUUAACACAUGCGAGUCGAACGGAAAGGCCCCUUUGGGGGUACUCGAGUGGCGAACGGGUGAGUAACACGUGCGUAACCUGCCCUUGACUUCGGGUUAACUUCAGGAAACUGGGGCUAAUACCGGAUAGGAAUCCUUGCUGCAUGGUGGGGGUGGGAAAGCAUCGGCGGGUUUGGAUGGACUCGCGGCUUAUCUGCUUGUUGGUGGGGGAGUGGCUUACCAAGGCUUUGACGGGUAGCCGGCCUGGGAGGGCGAACGGCCACAUUGGGGCUGGGAUUCGGCCCAGACUCCUACGGGGGGCAGCCGGGGGGAAUAUUGCCCAAUGGGCGGAAGCCUGAUGCAGCAACGCCGCGGGCGGGAUGACGGGCUUCGGGUUGGAAACCGCGUUCAGCAGGGGCGAAGCUUGUGGUGACGGUACCUGCAGAAGAAGCACCGGCUAACUACGUG